rnacentral:sRNA from 1 species
GAGCCGCCCGUGUCAACCGGGCAUGACGGCAAGGAAUACAGGGACGAUUUUCCCGGUUUCCCGCCCUGGCAACAGCGAAUGGGCAUACGCCUUCCUAUCCCGUCCGGGCG